rnacentral:tRNA from 1 species
CAGUAGUUCUAACGCUAAAAGUGAAGAAGCCCGCGAUAUCAAUGCGUUAGGAGCAUUUCACACGGGCCUUCUAAGCCCGGGGUCGGGGGUUCGAGCCCCUCCUGCCGCGCCA